UACGUAGGGCGCGAGCGUUGUCCGGAUUUAUUGGGCGUAAAGAGCUCGUAGGCGGCUUGUCGCGUCGUCCGUGAAAACCUGCAGCUCAACUGCAGGCUUGCGGUCGAUACGGGCAGGCUAGAGUUCGGUAGGGGAGACUGGAGUUCCUGGUGUAGCGGUGAAAUGCGCAGAUAUCAGGAGGAACACCGGUGGCGAAGGCGGGUCUCUGGUCUGUAACUGACGCUGAGGCGCGAAAGCGUGGGGAGCAAACAGG
rnacentral:rRNA from 1 species